ensembl:snRNA U6 U6 spliceosomal RNA
GUACUUGCUUCGCAGAUUAUGCACUAAAAUGAGACUAAUACAGAGAAAAUCUGCAUGGUCCUUGUGCAGGACUGACACACAGAUUCUUGAAGCAUUCCAUUUUUUA